AGAGAGUUCACGACGGAACUGCACAAGACGGAGGGAUACAAGUACUACAACAAGCACAACGUGACUCUGCUCAACGGACCCAAGAAAGGCCACAGCGUCACCUUGUACAGCGCGUACUCCGACUGCAACGAAUGCAAAGUCUACAGGCACCCGUACAUUGGCGAGAAAGCCUGCUCGCUGCUGGUACCUGCUCACAAGAAGCACUACCUGACCCACUCGUGCAAGUUCAUCUUCCACCUUCUGUGCGGAAGCAACUACGAGACUGUCUACGACGAGACUUGCAAGAACAAAUGAACGCGCCGCUGCAUCCGGCACGAGGCUGCGUAGUGUAUGCAGCAUUUCCGCUGUCAUUAUCCCGCUGUCUGGUCUCUCUCCAUACAUCCAAUAAAGGC